rnacentral:rRNA from 1 species
CCUACGGGUGGCUGCAGUGAGGAAUAUUGGUCAAUGGGCGAGAGCCUGAACCAGCCAAGUCGCGUGAGGGAGUACUGCCCUAUGGGUUGUAAACCUCUUUUGUCGGGGAGCAAAAGCCGGACGUGUCCGGCGGUGAGAGUUCCCGAAGAAAAAGCAUCGGCGAACGCCGUGCCAGCAGGCGCGGUAAUACGGGGGAUGCGAGCGUUAUCCGGAUUUAUUGGGGUUAAAGGGUGCGCAGGCGGGGGCACAAGUCAGCGGUAAAAUCGCGGGGCUCAACCCCGCUCCGCCGUUGAAACUGUGUCCCUUGAGUGCGCGAAGGGUAGGCGGAAUGCGUGGUGUAGCGGUGAAAUGCAUAGAUAUCACGCAGAACUCCGAUCGCGAAGGCAGCCUACCGGCGCGCAACUGACGCUCAUGCACGAAAGCGUGGGUAUCGAACAGGAUUAGAUACCCGUGUAGUC